UACGGAGGGUGCGAGCGUUGUCCGGAAUCAUUGGGCGUAAAGGGCGCGUAGGUGGCGCGGCAAGCGUGCGGUGAAAGCUCGGGGCUCAACCCCGAGUCGGCCGUGCGAACUGCUGUGCUUGAGCACUGUAGAGGCAGGCGGAAUUCCGGGUGUAGCGGUGGAAUGCGUAGAGAUCCGGAAGAACACCGGUGGCGAAGGCGGCCUGCUGGGCAGUGGCUGACACUGAGGCGCGAAAGCGUGGGGAGCGAACAGG
rnacentral:rRNA from 1 species